AGUGAACGCUGGCGGUAGGCCUAACACAUGCAAGUCGAACGGCAGCACAGUAAGAGCUUGCUCUUACGGGUGGCGAGUGGCGGACGGGUGAGGAAUACAUCGGAAUCUACUUUUUCGUGGGGGAUAACGUAGGGAAACUUACGCUAAUACCGCAUACGACCUACGGGUGAAAGCAGGGGAUCUUCGGACCUUGCGCGAUUGAAUGAGCCGAUGUCGGAUUAGCUAGUUGGCGGGGUAAAGGCCCACCAAGGCGACGAUCCGUAGCUGGUCUGAGAGGAUGAUCAGCCACACUGGAACUGAGACCCGGGCCAGACUCCUACGGGAGGCAGCAGUGGGGAAUAUUGGACAAUGGGCGCAAGCCUGAUCCAGCCAUACCGCGUGGGUGAAGAAGGCCUUCGGGUUGUAAAGCCCUUUUGUUGGGAAAGAAAAGCAGCAGGUUAAUACCCCGCUGUUCUGACGGUACCCAAAGAAUAAGCACCGGCUAACUUCGUG
rnacentral:rRNA from 1 species